rnacentral:lncRNA from 1 species
ACUUGGUAGUGCUAGAUAUGAGACAGGUAAUCAAAACAACAAUGGCUACACCAACAAGUACUACAAUAAUGGCUACAAACUAGCUGGUGAAAGCUAUGAAGCAGGCAAUCAAAAUACUGAGAAUGGCUACGACAACAAUGGCAACACAAACAACUACAACAACAAUGGCUACACCAACAAGUACUACAAUAAUGGCUACAAACUAGCUGGUGAAAGCUAUGAAGCAGGCAGUCAGAAAAGUGAGAAUGGCUACAGCAACAACUACAACAACAACGGCUACACCAACAAGUACUACAAUAAUGGCUACAAGCUACCUGGUGAAAGCUAUGUAGUGGGCAACCAGAAUAGUGAGAAUGGCUACACCAACACCUACAACAACAAUGGCAACACAAACAACUACAACAACGAAGGCUACACCAACAAGUACUACAAUAAUGGCUACAAACUAGCUGGUGAAAGCCAUGAAGCAGGGAAUCAGAAUAGUGAGAAUGGUUACAGCAACAAUGGCAACGCAAACAACUACAACAACAAAGGCUACACCAACAAGUACUACAAUAAUGGCUACAAACUAGCUGGUGAAAGCUAUGAAGCAGGCAAUCAGAAUAGUGACAAUGGCUACACCCGCUAUGAGACUGAGAGACAAGGGAUGAGUGACACCAGAUAUAUGGAGGGUGGAAAGUACUAUUACAACGCGAAGAAUGAGA